CACCCACCUCGGCCUCCCAAAGUGCUAGGAUUACAGGCAUGAGCCACCACGCCCAGCCCAUACCUGCUCUAUAGAGAGGGUGAAGUUUGCUCAUCUGGGCCUGCAGCACCCAGGAGCUCCUGAAAGAGCUCAUGGCAGUUUCAGAGUAGACAGAGGAUGUGAGAAGCAGUGACUCUUGUUUGGAAAUCUUCUAAAUUGGCUGACUCCCAUUUACAUGCUGUUUCUGGCAGCAGAGAUCAGUCUGGGUCACCUCUAUGCUGCUGAGUAAAUAUGCUCAAAAUUAUUACUAUUUCAGACAAAUGUUUAACUGUUCUCAGAUUAUCUAUAACACCCCAGGCCAAAGUCACAGCAAUCUAACCUGGGAGUGAGUUUACUUUACUUUGUGAUUUAUGGAAUGAGAAUUCUGGGUGCUCUGUGGGACUAAUUUAAUACGAAACAUUCAGAUGUCUGUCUUAUAAUGCCAUUCAUCUUUCCUUAGCCUGCCUGCACCAGGGAGCAUGUGGUUCAGAGAGCAGCCUCUCCCUUCUCAGCCACAAAUCAUCACGCUUGUGAAAGGGGGUGACAAGUCUUCCCUUCUAAGCCAGGCUGCCUGCAACAGAGGGUCUGUCUGGUCUCUGAUGGAAGAAAAGUGUUUUCCACUCUUUCAGGCUGUUGGAGUGUUUUGAAAGGUACAGUUGGCAAAGUAGGAUUCCUAGUCAACAUUGCUUUGGUUUGCCUUUUGGUAAAGGGAAUUUAGUCAGUCUAUACUGUCUUAUCAACAGGUGCAGAUUUGUUUUAUAAGAAGGCAAUGUGAUGUUCUAUGGAUUGACAUAAUGCACGUGAGAAGAAAGUUCUACAAAAAGCUAAACUCUGAUUCAGUGUAGUACUUACAUUUGAAAAGCAGAUAUUUCAAUGCAUGGCUAAAAAGGAACAAAAAUAAAACUUUUUAAACCAACAAGUUACCCUAAAUCUCACAUUCAUCCAACAAAUAUUCAUGAACGCCUGCUAUGUAGUAAGGGCUAUUCAGGCACUGGGAACACAAUUCUGAACACCCUACUUUCAUGGAGUUUGCAGACCAGUGAGAGAAAGGGCAUGUCCACAGUGGUAAGUCCUACAAGGGUGAGCAACAGGUACAGGGGGAGCACAUGGAAGGAAGUUCCCCACACAGUCAUAUAAAAUGACAUGAGAAAGCUGCAGGAAGAAAAUGUGCAAAAUCAUGGAAGUAAGAGAGAAUAUACAAUCUUGGGGAAUGGGGAAAAGUUUAGCAUGGGUGGAGUGCAGAACUCUGUGAACAAAGGGCUGAGAACCCAGACUUCAGAGCCAGGGGACCUCCGGAUUCCAAAGGCCUUUGGGCACAGGGGAGCGAGUUUGUCCUGCAUUUUGAUGGCAACAGAGGGCCACUUAAGCUCUUUAAGUGAGGAAGUGACAUGAUAUGAUUCUUAUUCUAGAAAGAUCAUUCUGGCUACAACUUUGACAAAGAAUUCGAUAGAAGCAAGGCUCUGGGGGUGGGGGUGUGUGCAGUGACUAGUUGGAAAAUCAGUGUUAUUAUACCAGUGAGUGAUGGCAGUGGUCUGAAGUCAGAUAGGUUCUGGAGUCUGGGAAGUUGAAGAUCAAGGUGCCAGCAGAUUCAGUUUCUGGUGAGGAAUCAUUUUCUAACUUGUAGACAGCCAUCUCCUUGUUGUGUCCUGAUAUGGCAGAGAGAAAGAGGUCUCCCUCUCUCUUCCUCUUCUUAUAAGGCCAUUAAUUCUAUUGGAUUAAUGUUCCACCCUUAAGACCUCAUUUAACCUUAAUUACCAACUAAAAGCCUUAUCUCCAAAUAUAGUCACACUGGGGUUUGUGUCUUCAACAUAAAUUUUGGGGCACAAUUCAAUCCAUAGCAGUCACUAUUUUUUUUUUUCUACUCCAAGGAAACCAAAGGGUAUGGCAGUUGAGUUUCUAUCUGGAGUGGGAAAAAUGAGGAGCUAUAUAGAGAUAGGCAUCUGAGAGAAAUUUAUGUAGUUUGAAAAGAUCCCAGAAAGACAUAUUUCUUAUAUUUUUCUUUACCACUAAAAUGUCACUAUUCUAUAGAGAUCAUGUUUUCUACUUACAAACAGAAAAAAAUAUAUAAAUAAUUUAACUAAAACAUACUUUAAAGGCAAAAUAUAAAUUCAAUCUAUGGUUAUUUUACUUGGUUUCUCCUAAGACCUAUUUGUAUGUAAAGUCAAUAAAUUUAGGAAAAAAAAAUUAAAUAUGAAAAUAAAGCAUUUUCUCUGUUGUAACUAAUGAAAUGCUGUCCCUUGAAGGAGAUAAUGACAUAUCAUGCAUGGAAGAAAUAGACUAAGCUCUGGCUGAAGAACGACUUGUAUUCAUGUUCAAUAUUUUAUCUUCAUUCUCUCUGAUAAUAUAUUUUCAAUGACUUUUUUCCUUUAUUUUGGUUAACAUUAAAAAGAGAUAUAAGGCAUGACAACAACUCCUUUAAGGGGAAGAUAAGAUAUCUUUCAACUUCUACUUGCGAUGCUGUGAUGCUUUAGGCACUAAAGCAGAAUUAGAGAGCUGCUGCAGGAAUGGGAGAAGACAAACGCUUCAGGACCAUAGAAGGAGGGGCACAGGCAAUCAUAAAUCAGAGAAAGAUGCUGGUCCUGCAGAAAGAGCCACUAACCCUGGAGAGAGAGCCGCCUUGGUGCAUUGAUGACUGAUGAGCCGACAACAGUUGGAGAUGAGAGUAAGUCUAGCAAUGUUCAAAGAGUGGGUGGGAAGAACAUGGCUAAAUCAUCCAGAAUAGCCACAGCAGUGAAAGCAGUUGAGAGAAAGUCCACAUUGGAUGGGAUUCAAAUACCAUCUGGGGGUUUCAUUAUAGAAGGUAUAGAGAAGCACUUUGAAAUGUGAUCUGUUUCUCAUUCUUCCAGCAAAAGUCUCAAACACUGAAACUCUGAGCUUCUUUGGAGUCACUGUCAUUAGCCAGACACCCCCAGUGAAAUCCAAACCCUACCCUUCCUGCUGCCUGUUCAUUUCUCACACACAGUCCAUCCUCCAGAGGUAUUUUAUACAGCCUGACAGCGUGAAAGGAUACAUUCCUAACUGAUGACAAAGAAUCGCAUGCAAGCCCGUAAAGACAAAAAUACACAGCAUGGAAAAGGAAGAGAUUCGAAGUUUCUAGACAUUCUCUAAGUGUCCUUUUACACAUCUAGGCCACAUUAAUCUUCCCAAAACAUUGUUUUCACCAUGCCAUUUCUUUAUUUACAGGCAAGUAGUGGUUCAAGCACUUGAGUUUAGGAUAGUGUUAUGGACUAAACUGUGUCCACUCCAAAUUCAUGGUUAAGCCCUAACCGCUACUGUGACUAUAUUCGAAGAUAGAGCCUUUAAGGAGGUAAUUAAGGUUAAAUAAAGCCAUAAGGGUGGAGCCCUAUUCCAGUGGGACUGGUUUCUUUAUAUACAAGAAAAAGAAGAGACGCCAGGGUUCUUUCUCUCUCCACAUGCACACAAAGGAAAGGAUAUGUGUGAACACAGCAAGAAGGUGGCUGUCUGUAAGCCAAAAAGGGAGGCCUCACCAGAAACCAACCCAGCUGGCACCUUGAUCUUGGACAUCCAGCCUCCAGAACUGUGAGAAAAUCAACUUCUGUUGUUUCUGCUGUUUAACACUCAGUCUAGUAUUUUGUUAUGGCUGACUGAGAAAACUAAUACAUAUGUAUAUGGGGUCUAUCAUAUGCUUUUAAACAAUCUCUCUGGUCACAUCUAUCUCUUCCAAUUUCUCUGUCCAUGGGGCACCUAUUUAAUACGCUUUAUGAAUUCCAACACCUAUAUUUACAUGGGUGUCCCUAAUCCUUGCUAACCAUUUUUCUGCUUAAGGUGUUGAAUCUUCUCCAUUUCUCAAGUUCCAUCAGAGUUCCUGAUUGAUUCCUCUGUAGAGCCUUGUCUGCCACCCUAGAAAGCAAAAACAAAAAAGUUACCAUUUGGAGGUAGAAAUGGUUCACCACAAGACACCCAGAUGGCAAUAGGAUUUCUGAGGAUGAGGGAGCUGCAUCUUGCUUUUGUUUCUCAGAGUCUCUCUGGAGAAAGGAUUCAUCUAGAGCCCAUAAAACCAAAUCACGCAAGAUGGAAAAACAGGAUGAAAGAUUAAAAUUUUUGUCCAAGACCAUAAAAGCCAGCUGUGGAUCCCUGGGUGAAUCUUGGAGUUGCUAACUUCUGUAUUUUGCUUAGUUUAUUGAGUAACAAUACCUUAAUUUAAAAAAAAUAUUUUCAGCCAAAGAGGUGAGGGAAUAGAUAUGUGCGCUUGCAAGGAAGUCUGCAGGGUAACUCCAUAUCAUAUCAAAUAUCACUUGUAAAAUACAUUGCUAAAGGCAUUGGCCAGAGUGAAUAGUCAAGAUAAUCACCAAGUAGUGCAAGGACAAAGCUGGGUUUGGGCCUUCUAGCUUCUUCUCUCUUCCUAUGACUGUGAGGAGCAGCCCCCAAGGCAGACCAGGUAGUUCCUCCUAACACAGCCCCUGCUUCCCCAAUUUGAAAAUAAAAUAAAACAUCCUAUCAACACAUAAAUGCCCAGAUACUCCAGAUGGUGAAUGAGGUGGCAUCUCUUGGAUGAUUCAGAUGACAUACAACUUGAAGCUGGCAUGAGAAACAAGGCAGAAAAAGGCAUUCAGUCUAUCACAAGAAGGAAGAAAAUCCAGUAGCUUUGUUUUCCUCUUUCUUAUAGAUCUCUGCUCUAGAGCCAAUCUAAAAACUGAAUUCUGGUUUCUAGUUUUUCUAAGUCUGUAUCCACUGACAUACAAUCAAAUAAAAUGUCUUUAAGUAAACAGAGAUCUUCAUCUCAUCAGCUUUAACUGGUGAAUCUGGCCAGGGACAUUUAUCACUCAAUCCCACUGCUUUUUCUUUA
rnacentral:lncRNA from 1 species